AUUGUCCCACAAAUAUGCAGACGUUUCAAAAUUUACUUCAAGCCACAGUAGCUUAACUCCGGGCCGAAACAUCAAUUACCUCAAACUGGGUAUUAAACC